CCGGAGUACUCGAGUGGCGAACGGGUGAGUAACACGUGGGUGAUCUGCCCUGCACUUCGGGAUAAGCUUGGGAAACUGGGUCUAAUACCGGAUAGGAGCCAUCUUUAGUGUGGUGGUUGGAAAGUUUUUCGGUGUAGGAUGAGCUCGCGGCCUAUCAGCUUGUUGGUGGGGUAAUGGCCUACCAAGGCGGCGACGGGUAGCCGGCCUGAGAGGGUGUACGGCCACAUUGGGACUGAGAUACGGCCCAG
rnacentral:rRNA from 1 species